AGAAGUCUCCAAGUGAUCUUUCUCUUCUUUUUUCUUUCUGUGCUUUUGGUCACACAUCAUUCUCUCAUCAUAACUCUCUUCAUCGUCGUCGUCCAUUAUCGAAGAAUAAUACCCAUAGAAGAUUAAUACUUCCCUCUCUUUCGAUUUUGGUGGAGUAAGAAAAUCAUCUCUAAUUUAAAAGGGAUUUUUUUAUUAAUUAUUAAUUAAGUUAAUUUAUUUUAAUCAUGUCUAAUUUAGGAGAAAUUAUAUUAUAAAACUGUGAUUCAAUAGCAUAUAACAUGGAAUUGCAAGGUAACAGGGAUUUAGCACAUAUAUGAAUUCAGUUAAAUUUUUAAAAAAUAGAACUGUUGAAUAAUUAUUUGAUAGUUAUAAUUUUAUAGGAUCUACUUUAUAUGUAUACUUAUUUUUUAUUGUUUUGCCAUUUUAGGAUAUCUUACAUGAAAUUAUAUAGUUGUAUAAUAACAGAAAGGUGUGAUUGUUAUAGCAUACCCAUAGGCAUGAUAUUCAUGCGUAGCCAUGUGAACAUAAAAACUGACAUUUGUUAUUGCCAGCUAUCCACGUAAGACUGGAUUUAAUUUACCCCUCACUUACCAUCUCAACUUAGGUUCAUCUUUUUGACCUUCUAAACUUCUAUAUUGUGGAAUAAUUUAAUCCCUAGAACUGGUGUGGCCGUGAGCAUGAUACUUACACGCACUCACAUGGACAUAAAAGCUGACAUUAGCAUUACAGUGAGGUAGCGGCAGCACUGAAAUAGUUAGAAUGUGUCAUGAGAAUGGAGUUAAUGCAUGAAGACUUUGAAACUCGAGAAUUUUCUGUUUGCUAAUAAGGAGAAUUUUGUCUAUGCUUGAGUUGUUUCACUAUUUUAAUUUUUGUAAAAUGUUUAUUCUUCUUCUUCUUCUUAUUAUUAUUAUUAAAGGUUUGGCUUUAUGAUUUAUGGGUGGCCGCUUACUAUUGAGUCGUUGGUGUGGAUGGGGUUUUAUUUGAUUAUGGGUUUUAGCUAGAUUUUGUGCUUAAACUUUGAGCGAGAUUGAAGGGUACAGUCUUGCUCAGCAUCUUGAAGAUUGAAGGUUUGUGAGGAGCUGCAAAGAAUUAUGAAUUCUUUUUGAUGAGGUUCUAAGACGGAUGGAAGGAAAAAUGUUCAUUGAUUGUCAUGGGACAGAUUGUGCUGUAAGAAGGAUGCUGGAGGCAUGGGUUUUUGCCAUCUUCAUCUCUUCAAUGUUGCAAUGCUUGGAAAGCAAGGUUGGAGACUCCUCUCUAACCGCCAGUCUCUUAUAUGUCGUAUUAUCAAAUCUAAAUAUUUUUCCAGACGAAGGUUUUUGGAGGUCCAAGAGAGUCAUAAUCCAAGCUAUAUAUGGAGGAGCAUAUUGUCUUCCAAAGAAUUGUUAUUACAUGGUAUAGAUGGAGGAUUGGUGAUGGCUCUGAUGUUCGUGUGUGGUAUGAUCCUUGGUUGCCUGUCAAUGAUAAUUUUUAUAUUCCCUCACCGAUGGUCCUAGGAACGGAGCAUUUUAGAGUCUGUGACCUUUUUGAGGAAGGUACGAGGAGUUGGAAUUUAUUUUUAUUGAGUAAUAUGUUCCCUUCUAGUGGAACUAUUUUGCAUAAUCGACAAGCUUAGAAAGCUGACUUUUGUUUGCACUAUAACAAUAUAUUACUUUUUUUUUCUUAAUUUUUGAAUAUAAUGGUGCUUUCAAUAGGAUUGAAGUUCA